CACUGGAGCCAAGCAAAGACCGCCCUCGGUGCCAUAUUCGGAGAGCUUGAAGACCAUCUUCAUGUGAAGAUUCCCUCUCCUCCAGAACCACAAAGCAACCAUCCUUCCAGGAUGAUUUUAUUCAGCCAAGUGGGUUAUUUUGUUUCCCUGUUCGCUACAGUUUCCUGUGAAUAUGAUCAUGGUCCUGAACACCCC